rnacentral:misc_RNA from 3 species
AACGCACAUUGCGCCCUGUGGUAUUCCGCAGGGCAUGCCUGUUCGAGCGUCAGUACAACACUCAAGCUCUGCUUGGUAUUGGGCCCUGCCAGCAACGGCAGGCCUUAAAAUCAGUGGCGGCGCCAUCUGGCUCUAAGCGUAGUAAUACUCCUCGCUACAGAGUCCUGGUGGAUGCUUGCCAGCAACCCCCAACUUUCUAAGUUUGACCUCGGAUCAGGUAGGGAUACCCGCUGAACUUAA